AUUAAAAUGAAUUCUUACAUCAUUAUAGUUUAACACAACAUGAUGUCUGUUUAGAUACAGAAGCAGUAAUAAUCCUAAUGCUAUCUGAGCUGCCCAGAAGGCUGAUCUGCUAUAUAUGAAGGAUACUAAAAAUGGCGUAUUCAUGCGGCUGCUACAGCAUCUUCCCAAGCUUACCUGUGAUCUGCAGUGCUUUGCUACAUAAGCUACAUAUUUUCCCUACGUAUUUUCUCUACAAUAAGGCUAGAGUAGGGAGGAGGCCCAACAGUAGUCCUCAAUAUUCACACUGCUUAAAUCUAAAAAGUAAAACCAAAAGCUCCAAAUGAAACAGCACUAAAUUCUGGAUCUUCAAACAUCUUGCUGCAGAACCAUAAUGCACGCUGCUGCAAGGGUGAAGUUGAAUGCUGUGGCGUGUAUGAAGACACACUUCCAAAGAGGCUUUCCCAGGAGCUUAACACCUCAGCUUCUCUGUGGUGAGGCACAGGCAGCAAAGCAGCACUGACCUUGAUAUCCCAUGGGACCAGUGAGCAGGCCAGAUGGAACACAUUUUUCCCAAGGCACUCAAGAGGAGGAAGAUGUAAUGGAAGUCCUUUCCAUUUGGUAUCUGGCGCUAUACGAAUAACAGCUACAAGUCAGCCUCUGUAAUCUCUGUUGAAGCCUUUUUUCCAUGUUAGACAACUGCAAACACGCUAAUGUAGGCGCUGGGUAACACACAUGGCGGGCUUGUACAAAUAGGUCCCUGUUAAGGCAGCGUUUUCCCCUGAGAGUGGGAGUGGUGUGGGAAGAAUGCCAUCCGGGGUCACUGGCAGAGCUGCCUCAGACACCCAGGGCCCUCUGGUCAGUGGGGAGAGCUUUUCCACAACUCCGUUUGGAACAAAACACAAUUGCUAAUCACUCCUUCAGCUUACACAUUUUAAACCACGUUGCUAGCUGAACUUGCAUUUCUGAAGAAGUGACUGGAGCUCCCAGUUGCUGGCAUGAUCAUGUACCACCAGCAGUGUUCUUCUUACAGAUUUGCUAUGCACUGGUGCCUUUAAUUGCAGCAAUAAUAUUGGAAAGAAAACCAAGGCAAAAAGCCUGAAUUAUCUGUAAUCUGUUCUGCUGACCUCAUUCUGUCAGCAGCCACGAUUAAACCCCAUCAGCAGAAGGUUGCUGCUGCUACCUGUGCAUCUUCAGCACUUUUAUCUGCGUGACAUGUUCCAGACACAUGGUUUAGAAAAGCUGCUUCCUUCAUUUAAGAACUCUGCUAACCUGAACCUACAGAUUCCUUGUUGCUAGCUCAACUGCCUUCGUUCUUUUGUCUCAUUUCAUUUGUCAGUGCAGCAACUCACUUCUAUGCUUUUCUUUAUCUCUCUUUUUCUACUUCUACUUUCUCCCUUGUGAGAUGCAGUUUUUUUAUUGUAGUGUGUAUUUCUAACUGGAAUAAAUGUAUUGAUCACACUCUCUUCCUAACCAGAUGCACAAAAGGAGAGCUUACCCUCACAUCAUUUUGCCUCAAGUUACUUAGGCAGUGCAAGUUACACCAUGGACUGCGGCAUAUAGCUUACGAAGUUGAAUGCUUAUUUAUUUACUAUAUGCUGUUUUGUGGCACGUAACAAAAAGAAAGAUGCAUAACUUUUAAUAUAUUGGCUUGAAGCAAUCUGAAGGGUAAAAGAAAAGUUAAUUUCUUCUUUCAUCUCAGUCCAUCCUUGCUUAAUCUUCUCUGUUGCCUCUUUCUAUACUCACUCCCUUCCUGCUAAGUUGGCACCUAUGCAUAGGCAAGUACCUUGAUUUUGCCUUGAUGUGCUAUUUGCAUAAAUAAUAGAAUAUUUAUGAAGAAUAACAAGAAAAUUAAUAGCAAUGAAAAAAACCAAAAAGGAGAGUCAUGACCAAAUAUAGUGUUUGGCAGCUGCUGACUUAAAAUAUACAAUGAUAUUUUUAUCACAAAAAAAACCCAAAACUUUUUACUUACUCACAGGCUACUUAACAAAAUAGAAAGUUCUCUGCACCAGAAUAUGAGUACCCCUGGAGGGGGCCAUUUCAGCAGCCCAGUUAAGAUGCAGGACUGUUCAGGAUGUGGCAUGACACAAAUGCUAUCACUCUCUGAAGCUAACUGGAGGUGCUAUGCUGACCUAUUGAAGGAACAGAGCAUGGCUGUAUUGAAGGUGACAUUUUAAAAACUUAUUUAUCCCCUUUUCUCUAGUGUUUAAUGA